CCUGCGCGGGCCACAGAGGCCGAUAAGGAGCCCCAGCGCCUCCUGGUCCCCGACAUCCAGGAAAUCCGAGUCAGGUAUGUAGGGCCCCACAUGAAGCUGCCCACCACAGGCAGUGCCCCUUACCCGAGCACAGGGCAGAGCCAGGGGCCAGGCCUCAGGCACACACCCUCCCCCACGUGCAGGACAGUUCUGAACCAGGUCAGGCAGACCCCUUGACCCAGACUGGGGACCACUUUGUUCUAGAGGGGUCACCCCACCCCCGAUGGUCCUGGUGCUGCUGUGGCAACAUGCAGACGGGGGGCGGGGGUCCGAGCCAGAGCGGGGCCUAGUGUCACCGGGCCGUGAUUGGCAGCUCCAGGGCUGUGUCUGCUCUUCAAGUCUCUCCAUCCCCAGCUGGGAUGUCCUCUGAGCCCCCAGAAAUGGGCCAGAGGUGGGCUAGUGGGUCUGGACUCCGGCCUCUGGCCCGCUUUCUCCUGGGCAAUGACCAGUACUGUGGGCCUGGCUCUGGGUGGGGGGCCGUGACUUCUGCCUUUGCCCGCACCACACCUGGCUGCCGGGACGUGAGCCAGCAGAUGCCCUGCCCCACAGCCCGAUCGUGUCCAAGAAGGGGUACCUGCACUUCCUGGAGCCGCACACAGCCGGCUGGGCCAAGCGCUUCGUGGUGGUACGACGCCCCUACGCCUACAUGUACAACAGUGACAAGGACACGGUGGAGAGAUUUGUGCUCAACCUCUCCACGGCCCAGGUGGAGUACAGCGAGGACCAGCAGGCCAUGCUCAAGGUACGCCCGGUCCCCGGGCCUGGGGCCCCCACAGGGCGGGGACAGUGGGGAGGAACCGGGCCAGGCCUCUGUGCCCCACAUGGGCUGGGUGGCACCUCUGUGCCCUGCCCAGGCUGCGGCACUGUGUCCUGUGCACAGAGAUGGGACCUGGGGCUCAGCCCUGCUGCAGCUCAGUCCUGGUGACCACUGUUGGUGAUGAGUGUGGUCCUAGGGCAGGGCAGAUAUGGCCAGUGGCCCGUCCUGUCCUCCUGGGGAACCUGUGGCACGUGGCCCCCUCCCUCCCCGAGUGUGGCCUUCUGGACACAUAGGAGCAGGCUCCCUGGGGCCUAGUGGGAAGAGAAGUCCUCUGAGCCCAGGAGCUGUGGAGUGGCCUCCUCUGUAGGAGGGGCAGCAGGAACUCAGUCCACCGCCCACACCCUGCACACAGGCCAGCAGGGCCACUCAGCCACGGCCACUGGAGGGGCAGACGCUUCCCCUGGGUGCAGAGCAGGGUGGGGCCCAGGCCCAGGACAGAGCUUCCUGACCGAAGAGGCUUCUGGAAGGGAGCCGGAGCACCGCGGGUCGGGAUAGGCCAUGUGCUCUGCAGAGGGGUCGCCCUGCCUCCCCACGAGGUUUGGCCUGCGGCUCCCCGAGCCCCACCUCAGAGUCCCCAGGUUCCUUCUCAGGAGUGGUGGGUGCCGGCCCGCUCCUUCUUACCACAGCCUCCUUUGCAGACGCCCAACACGUUUGCGGUGUGCACAGAGCACCGUGGUAUCCUGCUGCAGGCCAACAGUGACAAGGACAUGCAUGACUGGCUGUACGCCUUCAACCCCCUCCUGGCGGGGACCAUCCGGUACGGCUGUGCCCGGGCCCCGCCAGCCAGCACCUCCGGGGCGCUAGGCAGGGCCGAGCUGCUUCUGGAUCCUGUGGGGGUCCGAGGGGGUGGGCCUGCACUAACUGGGUGGGCCUUGAUGUGUGGCGGUGUGCGCACACAGUCCUCCACGUCACAGACGAGGGCCUGGCGGGUGUGGGAGGGCUGAGGCAGCACCAGGCCUCACCCGCUCAGUGCCAGGGCCUGAGCGUCUGGUGGUCCUGGGGCUGCCCUUACGCCAGGGGCUUGACGGACGCGGCCGGGGGGUCAGUCCCAGCGUGACACCCCUUUCUCCUCCCUCUGCAGGUCCAAGCUCUCCCGGAGGAGGUCUGCACAGAUGAGGGUCUGAGCCAGAGCCCCCCACCAGCCAGCACCCGGCUGUCCCUCGCCCCGUCCCCGUCUGUCCUGUCCUGGCUGCCUAGCCUUCCCCUGCCAGGGAGUGCCGGGCCCGGGCCUAGGGCCAGCUGUGCCCCAGGGAAGCCUGCCCGAGUCCUUCUUUCUUCCUCCUCAGCUGCUCUGGGUGGGGAGAGCUGGGGAUCUGAGGGAGGCCAGAGGGCACAAGACCCCGUGUUGCCGCCACUCUAAUAUUUUUUUAAGCAUAGACAGACUUAUAAUUAAUAUACAGUAGUUAGUGACGUUGAGACAGUCCUGAGAAAUUAACUGUAACUGUGUUCUAUUUAUGAUAUUUAUUUCUAAUGCCUCCGAGUAGACCUGCAAGACCCAGCGGCCACCCUCCCUGUUUGUUCCCUCUGCAUCUCCAGCCUUCGGGCAGAGCGGGGGAAGAGGAGUUUGGACGUGGGACCCUCGGUUGGCACACAGGCACACCUGGGCCAGGUUUCCCUGAGCCUCCUCCAGGUGUGUGGGGUCUCCAGGUGCUAAGGUGGUGCCAGCAGGAUUGAGAGGGUGAGCGGACCUGAGCUGGGACCAUGGGGGGCCAGGAGGGAGGAGGCCAGGGUGUCCAUGGCGCCCAGGCUCACCAGUUGUGUCCAGACUGUCGGGGCCGGUGGCUGGGUUCAGACACAGGGCUCUUGGGCAGCAGGCAAGGUCAGCAUUCAGGGUGUGGGUCCCGGCCUCCAGGGCCUCCCUGGUGCUGUGAGGACGCAGAGCCCCAGGCUGCUCUGGGAGGAAGUUCUGUGAUUGGAAGCUCCUCACACACACCCUCCUCUCCACCCCAGGGAGCAGACUCCAUGCACGGGGCAUGUCUUGGCAGGUGGGUGAGGGCAGAUACCAGGCUGUCUUGGCUGUCCAGGGUUCUUCUGCACCUGGGGAAUUCCCACUCACAGGCCAUUUGGAAAAUCAGAAACCAAACUGCAAGUCCCCUAACCCUACGGCCCACCUGGACCAGGCUGCUGUUGGGGCUGGGCACCUUCCACCCCCUUGCCAGCUCCUGCUGCUUGGUUCAGAUGAGCCGGGGGCUCGGAGGUUCCCCAUCAGCCCAGGUGGUCCCUGAAUGGCACUACCCUGACUUGUGAGCUCAAGCCACUCUCGGAGGAAGAGACUAGGUGUGUGGGUCUCUUUCAUGCUGACAAACAAGUUCAGGUCUUCCUUGGGGAAACCGUCCAGGCCUCUGGACCCUCACCCCAGACCGCAGGGCUCAGGGUGAGUGGUAUUGUGGAAGCAGGAUCUGAGCCUGCAGCCAGCACAAGACCAGAUGCAAGCUCCGACGGGGAGCUCGUCCUCCCACCAGGCUCCGCUGCAGCAGGGGUGGCUGCCUCGUCCCCAGGGCCCGGGGCCUCUGUCGGAGCGUCAGGUCUUAGGAAACCACAGCUGUGCAGUGGGGGCCACGCAGCGCUUUCUUUAGAGGGCUCCUUGAGGACAGUGCCGUCCCAGACUGAAGUAAACCUUGUGCAGAAACCAGGUGACCGCCCUGUGGACCGUGGGGGCAGUGGGCUGAGACACAGCAUCCAGAUGGCACUCACUCUGGUACCCGUGACCCCCUCGAGGCAGGGAGGGUGGGACAGAGCACCUUGCUCUGAGUUGAGUUGGAUUUCAAGGCCACACCCUUCACAGCAGGCUAGAGGCCAGGCCCACCACGGCCACUCAGGUCAGCCAGCCUGAAGCCGUGGCCUCGGAAAGGUCUGGGCCGCCCACCAGCGGGUGUCUGAGGCCAGCCAACCUGCAGAGCACCUGCUGUCUGGGGUCAGGCUGAGGGAAAGGCCAGGAGCCUGGAGCCCUCUGCAUUCAGAAGACCCCCCCCCCCCCAUGAAGGCCUGGGCGGUGCCAUUUUGGCAUCGGCUGGCACUGAGAUGGGCCCCUGCCCUGUGGGCCGUCCAGAGUCAGUCUGCAGAAACAGGAGAGGCCAAGGGCAGUGCGUCCACAAGGUGGGAAGCCUGGUUUCUGUUUGCCCACCCUGCCCGAAACCACCCACGUACCCAGCCAGCUGAGGACAGUUGCCCCCACCCCUGGAAUGCUGUGUCCACAUCUGUGCCGUGGAGAGACCCUUGGGGUCUUCCCAUCCUGUGACGCGGAGGGGAGCGCCUGGUCUGGCUGUGGCCCCCAUUUCUUGCUGGUACGGAGGUGAGAGGUCGAGACAGCCAUCUCUCCUGGUGGUUUGGUUCUGAGGCUUAAUACUGCCCAGCUCUGGCCUUGCUUUGGCCUGGGGGAUGCCGGCUCCUGGGGUCCUGUGGGGUUGAGAAGCCCAAGGCCUCCUGCUAAGUGGUCCUGCCAGCAUAGCUGCCGAGAGUGGCCUUCCACAUCCAUCCUGGUCCCUAGAGCCUGGGGCACCUGGGGGUCCUGAACGUGGUCAGGGGUACUGCGAGCGGGGUUGUGGUGCUGGUCCCGUGCCAGCUCGGCCAGGUCUGGGGCCCCAGAAGGCAUCCUCCUUUACCCCUGCAGCCCCAGGUUGGACACAGGCUGUGACGGCCCCCGUCUCUCCCCGGGUUGUGCUUCCUGUAGUUGGUCUGUUCUGAGUGCCCCUGCAGCUUGGAGGCUGCAUCCCUGGCUUGUACAUAUGUGAUUGCUGUGGGACCCUGUGUCAUCUCCACUACCCCGAUGUAGCGACUCUCCCCACGUCUUACCCGAGUGUUAGCUCUAGGCCCCUGUACUGUGUGUGCAUCACGGCUGUGUCCAAGUAAGAAAUAAACGUGGCUCUACGCAACCCAUACC
rnacentral:lncRNA from 1 species